UAAUACGGAGGGGGCGAGCGUUAUUCGGAAUUAUUGGGCGUAAAGGGCGCGUAGGCGGCCUGGUCAGUCGAAGGUGAAAUCCCCGAGCUCAACUUGGGAACUGCCUUCGAUACUGCCGGGCUUGAGUCCGGGAGGGGAGAGUGGAAUUCCCAGUGUAGCGGUGAAAUGCGUAGAUAUUGGGAGGAACACCGGUGGCGAAGGCGGCUCUCUGGACCGGUUCUGACGCUGAGGCGCGAAAGCGUGGGUAGCAAACAGGAUUAGAUACCCUGGUAGUCCACGCCGUAAACGAUGGGUACUCGGUGCAGGGGGUAUCGACCCCUCCUGUGCCAAAGCUAACGCAUUAAGUACCCCGCCUGGGGAGUACGGUCGCAAGGCUG
rnacentral:rRNA from 1 species